UACGGGGGGGGCAAGCGUUGUUCGGAAUUACUGGGCGUAAAGGGCUCGUAGGCGGCCAACUAAGUCCGACGUGAAAUCCCCAGGCUUAACCUGGGAACUGCGUCGGAUACUGGAUGGCUUGAAUCCGGGAGAGGGAUGCGGAAUUCCAGGUGUAGCGGUGAAAUGCGUAGAUAUCGAGAGGAAUACCUGUGGCGAAGGCGGCCAACUGGACGAGUACUGACACUGAGACACGAAAGCGUGGGGAGCAAACAGG
rnacentral:rRNA from 1 species